CGGGCAGGGCUCCCCGGCGGCCGGGCUGCGCCCCGGGCGGCGGCGGGGGCUUUGAGCCUGCCAGGGUGCUAACGGCCCCGACGGGGUGCCCGCGGCCGCACCGCUGGCUGCGGCCAGCCCGACACUCACCGUGGCUCGCCGGGAGCGCCCGCGCCCGCGCCCCCACUCGGAUCCCGCGGCGGCGGCGGCGCCAAUCCUAGAGCCCGAAGAGAGCCGGUCUCGGCGACCGCCCCCGGCCAAUCCCCGCGCGGCUUGGCGGCCUGAUAGCCAGUUGUGUGGCAGCAAGAGAGGCCGCUGACCAAUGGCGAGGCGGCGAGGGCCGGUUUACCUGCUACUUUCCCGCCACCAAUCGCUUGGCGCACAGAAGCACACGCCCCAAGGAGAGGACCAAUCGAUGCGUUUUCCCUGGAUUUCCUCGCCCCUGUCCUCUCUCUUUCGCCUGGUCUCCCGUUAGCCUUGGCCACUGCGGGUCCAGACGCCGCACUCUUUGCAGUCGCUUGAGAUGUCCUUCUCUAGGUUCCUGACUUGCUUCUGGGUCACGGCUCUCACUCCUCCUCCUUACCCUUUUUUCACUCGGGGUAUCCUGACUAAAGAAACAUUUCCUCGUUCCCCUACCUCCAACUCCAUCUAGGAAACCAGUUUUAGGAACACAGAGUGCCAGAUCCUUCCCAAAACAUCCUGGUUUGCCAAAGUCCAAACGAGAGAAGAAAUACUUGGUAUUUCUAGAAGGUUUUUCAAUUCAAGUGUUCUUACGUUCUUUUCGUUCGUCCUGACCUCCAAGCAUCCGAUUGGAGCUGUCUUUCCUGUUCAAAAGAGAAAACUCUAGCCUGGAGCGAUUCCAGUGCUUUUCCUUUCAGUGGCCGCACUACUGUGUGGCAUACAACUUCCCAGUGGCUCUGUUUCUACCGUAGAAAAGCUGUCCAAGGAGUGAGACGGAAGGAAACAAAUACUUGCAGAAAAUAAACGUUUCAUAACAAGAUACAACUUGAGUACUGAGAGGAGGAAGAAUCUUAUUUUUGCAUCUCAAGCACUUAACAGAGGGCCUUUAACACAAAGAGCUCCCUACCCUUUUAGA
ensembl:lncRNA